rnacentral:rRNA from 1 species
UACGGAGGGGGCUAGCGUUGUUCGGAAUUACUGGGCGUAAAGCGCACGUAGGCGGCUUUGUAAGUUAGAGGUGAAAGCCCGGGGCUCAACUCCGGAAUUGCCUUUAAGACUGCAUCGCUAGAAUUGUGGAGAGGUAAGUGGAAUUCCGAGUGUAGAGGUGAAAUUCGUAGAUACUCGGAAGAACACCAGUGGCGAAGGCGACUUACUGGACACAUAUUGACGCUGAGGUGCGAAAGCGUGGGGAGCAAACAGG